AAUGGGUCAGCGACUUAUAUUCUGUAGCAAGGUUAACCGAAUAGGGGAGCCGAAGGGAAACCGAGUCUUAACUGGGCGUUAAGUUGCAGGGUAUAGACCCGAAACCCGGUGAUCUAGCCAUGGGCAGGUUGAAGGUUGGGUAACACUAACUGGAGGACCGAACCGACUAAUGUUGAAAAAUUAGCGGAUGACUUGUGGCUGGGGGUGAAAGGCCAAUCAAACCGGGAGAUAGCUGGUUCUCCCCGAAAGCUAUUUAGGUAGCGCCUCGUGAAUUCAUCUCCGGGGGUAGAGCACUGUUUCGGCAAGGGGGUCAUCCCGACUUACCAACCCGAUGCAAACUGCGAAUACCGGAGAAUGUUAUCACGGGAGACACACGGCGGGUGCUAACGUCCGUCGUGAAGAGGGAAACAACCCAGACCGCCAGCUAAGGUCCCAAAGUCAUGGUUAAGUGGGAAACGAUGUGGGAAGGCCCAGACAGCCAGGAUGUUGGCUUAGAAGCAGCCAUCAUUUAAAGAAAGCGUAAUAGCUCACUGGUCGAGUCGGCCUGCGCGGAAGAUGUAACGGGGCUAAACCAUGCACCGAAGCUGCGGCAGCGACACUAAGUGUUGUUGGGUAGGGGAGCGUUCUGUAAGCCUGUGAAGGUGUACUGUGAGGUAUGCUGGAGGUAUCAGAAGUGCGAAUGCUGACAUAAGUAACGAUAAAGCGGGUGAAAAGCCCGCUCGCCGGAAGACCAAGGGUUCCUGUCCAACGUUAAUCGGGGCAGGGUGAGUCGACCCCUAAGGCGAGGCCGAAAGGCGUAGUCGAUGGGAAACAGGUUAAUAUUCCUGUACUUGGUGUUACUGCGAAGGGGGGACGGAGAAGGCUAUGUUGGCCGGGCGACGGUUGUCCCGGUUUAAGCGUGUAGGCUGGUUUUCCAGGCAAAUCCGGAAAAUCAAGGCUGAGGCGUGAUGACGAGGCACUACGGUGCUGAAGCAACAAAUGCCCUGCUUCCAGGAAAAGCCUCUAAGCAUCAGGUAACAUCAAAUCGUACCCCAAACCGACACAGGUGGUCAGGUAGAGAAUACCAAGGCGCUUGAGAGAACUCGGGUGAAGGAACUAGGCAAAAUGGUGCCGUAACUUCGGGAGAAGGCACGCUGAUAUGUAGGUGAAGCGACUUGCUCGUGGAGCUGAAAUCAGUCGAAGAUACCAGCUGGCUGCAACUGUUUAUUAAAAACACAGCACUGUGCAAACACGAAAGUGGACGUAUACGGUGUGACGCCUGCCCGGUGCCGGAAGGUUAAUUGAUGGGGUUAGCGCAAGCGAAGCUCUUGAUCGAAGCCCCGGUAAACGGCGGCCGUAACUAUAACGGUCCUAAGGUAGCGAAAUUCCUUGUCGGGUAAGUUCCGACCUGCACGAAUGGCGUAAUGAUGGCCAGGCUGUCUCCACCCGAGACUCAGUGAAAUUGAACUCGCUGUGAAGAUGCAGUGUACCCGCGGCAAGACGGAAAGACCCCGUGAACCUUUACUAUAGCUUGACACUGAACAUUGAGCCUUGAUGUGUAGGAUAGGUGGGAGGCUUUGAAGUGUGGACGCCAGUCUGCAUGGAGCCGACCUUGAAAUACCACCCUUUAAUGUUUGAUGUUCUAACGUUGGCCCCUGAUCGGGGUUGCGGACAGUGUCUGGUGGGUAGUUUGACUGGGGCGGUCUCCUCCUAAAGAGUAACGGAGGAGCACGAAGGUUGGCUAAUCCUGGUCGGACAUCAGGAGGUUAGUGCAAUGGCAUAAGCCAGCUUGACUGCGAGCGUGACGGCGCGAGCAGGUGCGAAAGCAGGUCAUAGUGAUCCGGUGGUUCUGAAUGGAAGGGCCAUCGCUCAACGGAUAAAAGGUACUCCGGGGAUAACAGGCUGAUACCGCCCAAGAGUUCAUAUCGACGGCGGUGUUUGGCACCUCGAUGUCGGCUCAUCACAUCCUGGGGCUGAAGUAGGUCCCAAGGGUAUGGCUGUUCGCCAUUUAAAGUGGUACGCGAGCUGGGUUUAGAACGUCGUGAGACAGUUCGGUCCCUAUCUGCCGUGGGCGCUGGAGAACUGAGGGGGGCUGCUCCUAGUACGAGAGGACCGGAGUGGACGCAUCACUGGUGUUCGGGUUGUCAUGCCAAUGGCACUGCCCGGUAGCUAAAUGCGGAAGAGAUAAGUGCUGAAAGCAUCUAAGCACGAAACUUGCCCCGAGAUGAGUUCUCCCUGACUCCUUGAGAGUCCUGAAGGAACGUUGAAGACGACGACGUUGAUAGGCCGGGUGUGUAAG
rnacentral:rRNA from 1 species